rnacentral:rRNA from 1 species
UAAUACGGAGGGUGCGAGCGUUGUCCGGAAUCACUGGGCGUAAAGGGCGCGUAGGUGGCGCGGUAAGCGUGUGGUGAAAGCCCGGGGCUCAACCCCGGGUCGGCCAUGCGAACUGCUGGGCUUGAGCAUAGUAGAGGCAGGUAGAAUUCCGGGUGUAGCGGUGGAAUGCGUAGAGAUCCGGAAGAAUACCGGUGGCGAAGGCGGCCUGCUGGGCUAUUGCUGACACUGAGGCGCGACAGCGUGGGGAGCAAACAGGAUUAGAUACCCUGGUAGUCCACGCCGUAAACGAUGGGCACUAGGUGCUUGGGGGAGCGACCCCCUGAGUGCCGGCGCUAACGCAUUAAGUGCCCCGCCUGGGGAGUACGGCCGCAAGGCUG